rnacentral:rRNA from 1 species
AUUGAACGCUGGCGGCAUGCCUUACACAUGCAAGUCGAACGGUAACAGGUCUUCGGAUGCUGACGAGUGGCGAACGGGUGAGUAAUACAUCGGAACGUGCCCGAUCGUGGGGGAUAACGCAGCGAAAGCUGUGCUAAUACCGCAUACGAUCUACGGAUGAAAGCGGGGGAUCGCAAGACCUCGCGCGGACGGAGCGGCCGAUGGCAGAUUAGGUAGUUGGUGGGAUAAAAGCUUACCAAGCCGACGAUCUGUAGCUGGUCUGAGAGGACGACCAGCCACACUGGGACUGAGACACGGCCCAGACUCCUACGGGAGGCAGCAGUGGGGAAUUUUGGACAAUGGGCGCAAGCCUGAUCCAGCCAUGCCGCGUGCAGGAUGAAGGCCUCGGUUGUAACUGCUUUGUACGGAACGAAAAGCUACUCUCUAAUACAGGGGUGAAGUGACGGUACCGUAAGAAUAAGCACCGGCUAACUACGUGCCAGCCGACCC